rnacentral:rRNA from 1 species
GUGCAGCAGGCGAGAAUCCUCCGCAAUACACGAAAGUGUGACGGGGCCAUCCCGAGUGCCGUCCGCUGAGGACGGCUUUCCCAGUGUACAUUAGCUGGGGGAAUAAGGAGAGGGCAAGCCUGGUGUCAGCCGCCGCGGUAAUACCAGCUCUCCGAGUGGUGGGGACGCUUAUUGGGCCUAAAGCAUCCGUAGCCGGCUGGGCAAGUCCUCCGUUAAAUCCAACGAUUCAAUCGUUGGGCUGCGGGGGAUACUGUCCAGCUUGGGGCGGGAGAGGCCGACGGUAUUCCC